GUAGGAGUUUGAAUGAAGUCCACCUGCAAUAGAAGUUUGGGAUAGAGAUCCGGCUUUUGUAGGAAUUCGUCUGGAAUCCAUCCGUUGUAGAAGUUCGGACGGAGUCUGGUCCUUGUAGGAGUUUGGAUGAAAUUCGAAAGACGGUCGACUGUCGUAGAAACUUGGAUGGAGUCUGGUUACUGUAGAAGUUCGGAAGAAGUUCGGAGUAAAGUCAUUCGUGGCCGGAAG
rnacentral:lncRNA from 1 species